GGGCGGGUUUUCGCGGGUACCCGAUCCGUCCAAACCCUAUUAGGACGGAUUUGGGUAUUUACAAAACGGAUUUUGGCGGAUUCGGAUUUGAAAAAUUUUAUCCGUCUCGGAUUCGGGUAGGGUUCGGGGUUAGGUAAUCGGAUACCCGUUACCCGAACCCGAUUAGCUAUACUUCAAAACUAACCCUAAAUUCCCUUAUCCCUAAUUCAUUUUCUUAUUUUACUCGACCUUCUCUUUGCGCCUCUCUCCCCCCUUCCCUUCCCAUAAUUUCCAAUCGACACCUCCCCUACUUCACUGACGACUGCCGGCAGCCCAGUCGGCACCGGCGACAUCUCCUUCUCUCUCUCCAGUCGGCGAUAUCUCCCACUUCCUAGUCAACGCCUCCCUCCCCCACUUCCGGUCAGCGAUAUCUCCUUCUCUCUCUAGUGUGGCGACAUCUCCCACUUUCCAGUCGGAGACAACUCUUCCCUCUCCUCGGUUGGCAUCGGCGACAUCUCCUUCUCUCUCCACAGUCAGUGACAUCUACUCGUUCCUCUCUCCCCCACUUCACUGACGACUGGAGACAACCCGUGCCUCUCCCCAAUCGGCGUCAGUGACAUCUUCUUUUACUGAAAUCUCUUCGGGAUAUUUAAAAUGUCAACGUUUAAUAGUUCCGAAGAUGUAGCGAGUUGUAAAGCUACUACUGUUUCUCAACCUUCUUCAACCACUCAGCCCGCUAAUAGUUCCACCCAUUCUCAAUUGGAGCCAUCUACACCAAUCAAUCCCUCUCAUUCAUUGCCAGCCGCUUCAGAAAUUGAAGCUGGUUGUUCAAAUGAGAGUAAAUCUUGUUUAUGGGAUGCUGAGGAUGAUGUGAAUUAAAUCAUGCAUUUCACAAUUUUAAUAUCUUUUCAAGCACAAUUUGAUGUUGGAGAUUGAAAUGACCAAUUAAAUAUAUUUUAUGUUCAAUCAAUGUAGUUUAAUGAACUUUUGGAACAUUUCAUUUGUUCAAAAUGUUAUGUUGGAUAGAUAAUUGAUUAAUGGUUGUGUUAUGAUGAAUUUGUAAUAUAUUUAUUUACUUUUAGUAUAUUUAAAUUUCCUAAUUCAAGCUUGUUAUUUGGGUUAUAAUAUGUGAAUCUUUAAUUUUUUAUCAUUGAAUUGAAUUAUAAAAAUAGGGAGCUUGUUAUUUGGGUUAUAAUAUGUAAAUUUUUAAUUUUUUAUCAUUGAAUUGAAUU